GACGAACGCUGGCGGCGUGCCUAAUACAUGCAAGUCGAGCGCAGGAAAUCGACGGAACCCUUCGGGGGGAAGUCGAUGGAAUGAGCGGCGGACGGGUGAGUAACACGUAAAGAACCUGCCCUCAGGUCUGGGAUAACCACGAGAAAUCGGGGCUAAUACCGGAUGGGUCAUCGGACCGCAUGGUCCGAGGAUGAAAGGCGCUUCGGCGUCGCCUGGGGAUGGCUUUGCGGUGCAUUAGCUAGUUGGUGGGGUAAUGGCCCACCAAGGCGACGAUGCAUAGCCGACCUGGGAGGGUGAUCGGCCACACUGGGACUGAGACACGGCCCAGACUCCUACGGGAGGCAGCAGUAGGGAGUCUUCCACAAUGGACGAAAGUCUGAUGGAGCAACGCCGCGUGAACGAUGAAGGCCUUCGGGUCGUAAAGUUCUGUUGUAAGGGAAGAACAAGUGCCGCAGGCAAUGGCGGCACCUUGACGGUACCUUGCGAGAAAGCCACGGCUAACUACGUGCCAGCAGCCGCCGUAAUAC
rnacentral:rRNA from 1 species